GAUGAAGAACGUAGCGAAAUGCGAUAAGUAAUGUGAAUUGCAGAAUUCAGUGAAUCAUCGAAUCUUUGAACGCACCUUGCACCCUUUGGUAUUCCGAAGGGUAUGCUCGUUUGAGUGUCAUUGUACUCUCACACUUCUAAUUCCUUUCGGGAUUGGGAGCGGUGGACUUGGGUGUUGCUGCUUUAGUUGUGGCUCACCUCAAAUAAGUUAGUGCAACUCUUGGUUGGACAUAGUACGGCGUGAUAAGUGUCUUCGCCGGCGCCUCUGUAAGGAGGGUGGCCGAUCGGGAGCUCUGUGCUUCAAACCGUCUUCGGACAAUCUUUGACAACUUGACCUCAAAUCGAGUAGGACUACCCGCUGAACUUAAGCAUAUCAAAAGCGGAGGA
rnacentral:misc_RNA from 1 species